rnacentral:rRNA from 1 species
UACGUAGGGGGCAAGCGUUGUCCGGAUUUAUUGGGCGUAAAGAGCGUGUAGGCGGCCUGAAAGGUCAGCUGUGAAAACUCGAGGCUUAACCUCGAGACGUCGGUUGAAACCAUCUGGCUAGAGUCCGGAAGAGGGUCGUGGAAUUCCCAGUGUAGAGGUGAAAUUCGUAGAUAUUGGGAAGAACACCGGUGGCGAAGGCGGCGACCUGGUCCGAUACUGACGCUGAGGCGUGAAAGCGUGGGGAGCAAACAGG